GAGAAACAGUUGUUAGUAGUGGACCAUGUAAAGCCUGGAAAAUCAACUUCCCAAUAUAUCUGCUUCUUCCAUUGGUUAUAAAUUAAGAUGGCUAAGUUCGAAGAAAUUGUGAUAUUAAAAAGGAAAUUUUAACUGGAUGCUUUUAAGAUAUGUACACUUAAGUUAUAGGAUUCAACUUUUUUGACUGUGCUGCCCAGCUUUCGGAAUCUUAGUUCCCAGACCAGGACUAGCACUGUGCCGUCUGCAUCGAAAACCACCAGGCAUUCCCAGACUCAACUCUUGGUAUGGUUAUUUGUUCCAUAUUUGCCUUCAUUUUAGAGUAAGUUCCCCAAGGGCUAGGGCCUUGGGUGGUGGUGUUGUUUAGUCACUAAUUGAUAUCCAACUUUUUUGUGACCCCAUGGACUGUAGGGCCCUCGAUAUGAAAGGUAUAAUACCUGUUUCAUAGUGGAUGUGAAUUAAAUAUUUGUCAUGGCUCAGACAGUAGGAAGUCUGCCUGCAGUGCUGGAGACCAAGGUUCAAUCCCUGGGUAAGGAAGACCCCCCUGGAGGAGGAAAUGGCAGCCCACUCCAGUAUUCUUGCCUGGGAAAUCCCAUGGACAGAGGAGCCUGGGGGUCUACAGUCCAUGGGGUCGCAAAGAGUCAGACACAGUUGAGCAACUAAUACUUUCUUUUACUUUUCACUUUCAGAUGAAUUCAGAAUGUAUUGCUGCCACUGAGAAGUUACGUGUUGUCCUCAGAAACAAAGAUGACUCUCCAGCAUCUGUAUGGCAUAUGUAUUUUCAGAGGGAGAAUGGAUCUGUGCCAGUUCUCUGUUUGAACUUCUGGUUAAGAAGGUUAUAGUUUUGGCUGGCCUGAAUUAAAGGAACUGAAGUAGCGCAAGUUUAGGUGACCUAUACCAAGUUCCCAGUGAGUCAUCAGUGAAACUGGCACAUGGAAUUCAGAGCUCUCCUCACUGACUUUUAUGUUGCAGCUGUUGGGAGACCAAGGGAUGUAAGUCAGAUGACCUACUUGCAAAUAACUGCAGAAAGAACAAAGAAGUUGCAGACCCAUUCAAAUGGUGUCAAGGAUGAAUUAGCUCAGAAUAGUUCUGAAGAAAAGAAAACUAUCGAGGUCAAAGUGUGCAUUGAAAUAUUGAUGAAUUCCCCUCUCCUAUUAAAUCAUUAAAGAUCUAGUAAACGACCCAGGGAUCAAACUGGGGAUCUCCUGCACUGCAGGCAGAUUCUUUACCAUCUGAGCUACCAGGGAAGCCCACGCCUGCCAGGCUCCUCUAUCUGUGGAAUUCUCCAAGCAAGAAUACUGGUGGGUAGGCAUUCCCUUCUCCAGGGGAUCUUCCCAACCCAGGGAUCAAAGCCGGGUCUCCUGCAUUGCAGGCAGAUUCUCUACCAGCUGAGCCACGAGGGAAGACCCCUAUUAAACCAUGCUUAAGAAUGGGCUCUCAUUCCUGUUUUUCACUGUUGUAUUAUUUGUACAAUAGAAUCUUGUAUGAGAAACUGUCAUUUCUAACUCACGACUCCCUCAGUUAUCCCUUUGGUGUUGCUUGUGUGCGUGGUACAGACGUGUCAUCACUAGAGGGUCCUUGUUUAUGGUUGUCAUCCGUUUCAGUGCGUCAUGUUGCACCCAUCAGAAUGGAACUUCAGAGGCCAGUACUGUAACUGAGCUCUGGACAUGGAUGCAAAAGCAGUCAGAAGUUAAUACUUCCAGGGAACCCAAACCCUGUGCCUUUUGGUCAGUCUAGACAAGUCCUGUGAAGAGGAAUUACAUUUAGAAAUGUAGCCUUUUUACCAAAACCAUCCUAGUCUUUAAAAAAAAAAAAAGUUUUAAAAAAAUUCUAAUCUUUCUUCCCAAGGCCCUUGACAGUUCAUCUACAUUCACAUGCCUGCUCUAAUCAAGUGCUUACAAGCCAGAAAAACUAUCCAUAGGAUAACUGUAUUGAUGG
ensembl:lincRNA